rnacentral:lncRNA from 1 species
CCCCCGCUAAGUUUCAGAUAGUGUCUUGGGAGAUCCUUGGAAACUUACUGUGUUUUUGUUGUUUGAAACCAAGUUACAGUCUUCAAAUGAAAGUCUUCUGUACCAGAAGAUAUUCUGUAUUACUGGAGAAUGACCAAGUAAAUAUUGGAGUGCUGCCAUCAAGGUCAAGAUUUCUUUCUCCCAAGUGUAUGAAGAGAACUUCCUGACACUAAGCAAUGACAUGAUGCAUUUAAUUGUAUGAGGGAAUUAAAACUCUACAGAUGGGGGGUGUUACCUUAUUUUUUUCUGAUCCUUCAGGUAAGAUAAUUAGGUUUUCAAUUCAAUUUUAAUCACAGACAGAGUUAUGGUACUUUUUGACAAUGCAUCAAUUUAAUCUCAAAUAGCAUAGAUUAAUUCUUGUGUUGCUAAUGGC